GGACGAACGCUGGCGGCGUGCUUAACACAUGCAAGUCGAACGGUGAACCAGAGCUUGCUCUGGGGAUCAGUGGCGAACGGGUGAGUAACACGUGGGCAACCUGCCCCAGACUCUGGGAUAACCUCGGGAAACCGAUGCUAAUACCGGAUACGACCACUUCGGACAUCCGACGGUGGUGGAAAGUUUUCGGUCUGGGAUGGGCCCGCGGCCUAUCAGCUAGUUGGUGGGGUAAUGGCCUACCAAGGCGACGACGGGUAGCCGGCCUGAGAGGGCGACCGGCCACACUGGAACUGAGACACGGUCCAGACUCCUACGGGAGGCAGCAGUGGGGAAUAUUGCACAAUGGGCGAAAGCCUGAUGCAGCGACGCCGCGUGAGGGACGACGGCCUUCGGGUUGUAAACCUCUUUCAGCAGGGACGAAGCGAAAGUGACUGUACCUGCAGAAGAAGCACCGGCUAACUACGUG
rnacentral:rRNA from 1 species